rnacentral:lncRNA from 1 species
GAUAACUGCACCGCCGGUCAGGCUCGCGCCAACCAAAGCGGGGUUGUUAACGGGGUGGUCAGAAUGGUUCUACCAGUUUGCACAGGAAGACGUUACUUAAGGCUGCUUUCCAAAGCAGUGAAAAAAUAAGUCAGAACAGCUGUGCUGAUGGCUGGGACUCUCUCAGGACAGCUUGGAAGGCCCGACCUGGCAGCUCUCUGGGCCCACCGGAGCUCUCCUGCCUUGUCUUGUACCUGCCUCUCUGUGCUCCAGCCACACUGCCAUCUCUCCGUUUCUCAAAUGCUACGUAAAGCCGCAUUCUCUUCCCACAGAUAGAAAAUGCUGUGCUCGCCCUUGAAAAGCCUCUCUCUCCAAUGAAUUCCCACUCAUUCCUCAAUUUUCAGUUGAAGCAUCAUUCAUUCCUUUGGGAAACCUUUUCUAGCCCCUAACACCCUGCAUUGGUCCUAACAUACCUUGGCAUGACUGCUGUAGCUCUGUAUCUGCGUGGGUACUGACGGAUGUGACUCCAGGAGGGAGGGUGUGCAGCCUGUGGCUCACCACGGUAUCCCCAGCACCUGUCUCUCUGCUUGCCUAUUAACUUCCUAAAUUAGUGCAUUUUCCCCUGUCAUUUAAAAAAAAACUUUAAUUUUUUCAUUUGUAUAUAUCGACAGAGCACAAGUACAGAUUUCUUGCAUGCCUAUGUUGUAUUGUGGUAAAGUCUGGGCUUCUAUGUGUACCCAUCACUCAAAUAGUAAACAUUGUGCCUGAGAGGUAAUUUUUCAGCCCUCACCCCCCUCCACUCUCCCACCUUUUGGAGUCUCCAAUGUCUAUUAUUCCACUCCAUAUGUCCACAUGUACCCAUUGUUUAGCUCCCACUUGUGAGUGAGAACAUGCGGUAUUUGACCUCCUCUUUCUGAGUUAUUUCACUUAGGAUAGUGGCUCCCAGUUCCAUCUAUGUUGCUGCAAAAAAACAUGAUUUCAGUCUUUUUUAUGCCUGCAUGGUAUUUCCAUGGUGUACAUGUACCAUAUUUUUUUUAAUCCAAUCCUCCUUUGAUGGACACUUAGGCUGACUCCAUAUUUUUGCUAUUGUGUAUAGUGCCACGAUCAACAUACAAGUGCAGGUG